GCGAAAAAGAAAACUAGAGAAAAAUUGCUUCUCAGAAUGCCUCAUGGCAACGUGUGGUGUCGCUCCCUCACCUUCGCGUUUCCUUCUCAUAAUCAAUGGUGCUUCAAUACGAACCAGGUGCCCAAGCCUUAAAUAUACAACGCCACACACGGAAGUAACAACGAAAACGCGCUUAUUGUGGAAAAAGCUCCAAGGAAAACAAUCGCUUAUAGGAUUCAAGCAAGCUUCGAGUUUCAAUGUUCUCAUUGCAGUUCAAGGUUCAAAAGUUCCCAAAUUCAAUUUGCUUUAUUAUCAUACGUGCGCAGGCGGAAUGGGACAGUGUCGAAAUCAGACAAAAAAUAAAAACUCACCGGAUUGUAGCUCUGAUGACGAACUGGUAUCUGAAUGAAGGAGCUUAUUUUUGUGAAAUGCAAGGUUCUGUUGGUAUUUUGUCAUAUGCUUUCGGCUGUUAUGCAAGUUAGCAAGGAGCUCUAUCAUGCUUGGACCCUAUGUUGUGGGUUACAAGAUCAUAAAUAGAAUUAUGUAGAACGUUAUAUUUAUGAAUGGAAUUGACUUGAAACGUGUACCUUUGUAAUUGGCAAUUAGUUUGUAACUUUGGAGUUUGUAAUUUGAAUGGAAAUAAAACAUAGAUUGGUUUGUAAUGAAUAGAAAAAUAGAAUUGUAUGGAAA